UGGUGCAUUGGUUAGAGACUCCUUCAGUUUUCAUCUUGCCAUUUUCUACACUCGGAUUGAAAUUCAGAACUAUGGUGGCUUGUGAUUGUAUGGCAGAUUGACAUAACGUACCGUCACUCCAAUACAUGCACAAUCCAUGUUGAAACUCUCGUUCUACGUAAGGUCCUACCCGUCUACUAAGAUAGAAAUCGUUACCCGGCCAAAGUUUACGUCAUGAUUGAAAAUUAGUAAACGGCAUGUUUUGAGAUCAAAUUGUUCUGGUGCAUCUCAUGAUUGCUAAGUUGUGAACAUCCAAUCCAAUUUUUCCAAUUGGUCACCAAAAGCCUAACGAUUUAUUGCAUGGUCCAAACUCCAAAGGACUCCAACUAGAAUCUUCUUGCGUUCAUAUCUGCAUGUCAUGGGAAUAGGCUUUUCCACUGUGUUUUCAGAGUACAACUCAGCAGGAAUGAAGGAUGAAGAGCUGACAUACAAAAAAAGAAGAAAGGCUUGACGUAAAGUAACCCCCAAAAACUAACUCGUGCAUAUGGCGGGGAUUGAUCAAGUGUAAAACAAUCAACAUUCCAAGGAGAUGGAUUAAUUUUAUCUAGCAGAUUGUGUUUGGCUCCAAAACCAGUCUGGUUGCAAACAGUUUUUUUUUAGCGUGCGCAGGCGUGCCAGCACCGUGGGGUGCAGUCGUUGGGGAGUCUCUUGACCUGACUUAUUCUUAAACGCUGUGGACGAGGAGAGCACCAACCUCGUCACCAGGUUCUUUUCUAUGCAUUCUGGAAAAUGACUUCUUGC